rnacentral:lncRNA from 1 species
CCCCAAAAGUGAGGAUUUCUCCAAUCUUCCUAAUGCUUGCACUUCUUAUUUUUAUAGAUGUUGACUCCUCCUCUAUUACAAAAAUGAAGCCUGAAGAAGUAAAGAGGUUGAUGAGAGGUUCAUUGAAGAGGAAGUUGCCCUCUUCAUCCAUCGAUGCUCAGAAAAAGCCAAAGACUUCAGGUGAGAGUGACAAGAAAGUGGUCCCCCCCAACUCCAGCUCAAAUGGCUGCUAUUUCAAUUUCUCCCCUCCAAACUUGGCCCUUGAAGCCAGUCGCUCUCUCUGCCCCCC